UUCCCAGGCAAAAUUUCUAGUAACUCAGCAUUUGUUACCAUCUUUACUAUAAUUUUAUACAGUAUCCUGCAUGUCUCAUUAAUUAAGAUUUAAAUCCUUUUAUAGAUUGUCACAUCAGUGAGCAAGGUUCAGUUUAGGGAUUGAGAGCCCUCAGUGACUGUAACACCUAGCCCAUUUUCAAAUUGUAGCACUUGAUUGCUGCCACUGAUUCUUCAAAAUGCCUAUCUUGUAUGGAAUGCUUGACAGCCAAAUGGAAUGAAUUAAACAAAUGCCAAAGGUGAGACAUGCUGGAAAAGCUUGAUACGAAUGUGUAGGCGUAGUUUUGGAAUUCAGAGGUGCUAGCUGGCUGUAUGGAUUGCGCCAUCCAGCAGGCAAUGUGGAUAUUCUGCCAUGUACAUUAUAAACCGAGGAUUCUUCGUCAACAUGCAAGAUGUUACCCCU